UACGUAGGGCGCAAGCGUUAUCCGGAAUUAUUGGGCGUAAAGAGCUCGUAGGCGGUCUGUCGCGUCUGCUGUGAAAACUCAGGGCUUAACCCUGAGCUUGCAGUGGGUACGGGCAGACUAGAGUGCGGUAGGGGAGACUGGAAUUCCUGGUGUAGCGGUGAAAUGCGCAGAUAUCAGGAGGAACACCGAUGGCGAAGGCAGGUCUCUGGGCCACUACUGACGCUGAGAAGCGAAAGCAUGGGGAGCGAACAGG
rnacentral:rRNA from 1 species